GCUAGUUGUAUUAACUAUUAGUUAAUGCAAGAUCGACUAUGUCGACUAAAGUUCUAGGUAGAAUAAUGAUGAUGACAAUUUUUUACCUAUAUGUCUUGACCAAGUCUCGUGCCAGCAGUCGCGGAAAUACGUGGAAGACUAGUGUUAUUCAUCUUUAAUAGGUUUAAAGGGUACCUAGACGGUAUUUCUAGCCCAAAAUAGGGUACGGAUUUACUAGAGUUUUAUGUGAGGAGGGGAGUACUCAUGGAGUAGAGAUGAAAUUUUGUGAUACUAUGAGGAAACUGGUGGCGGCGAAAGCAACCUUCUAUGUAUAAACUGACGUUGAGGGACGAAGGCUUGGGUAGCAAAUAGGAUUAGAUACCCUAGUAGUCCAAGCAGACAAUUCUGAAUGCCAUAGAUUAGAUUAUUUUUGGUCUAUAAAUGAAAGUGUAAGCAUUCCACCUUAGGAGUAAUGUGGCAACACAGGAAAUGAAAUCAUUAGACCGUUUCUGAAACCAGUAGUGAAGUAUGUUGUUUAAUUAGAUGGUCCACAAAAAACCUUACCACAACUUGAAUAUUAUUAAAUUAAUACAAGCGCUGCACGGCUGUCUUCAGUUAAUGUCGUGAGAUUUUGGUUAACUCCAUUAAUUAACGUAAACCCUUACUUUAUUUA
rnacentral:rRNA from 1 species